AUGUACUUCUCAUUGUUGCAUUAUUGCAUCGUUGCAUAUAGCAUGGCAUUAUUACAAUUGCGAGGCAAGGUAUGGUUCUAUUAAUUGCAUAGUCAAGAUAUCUAUCUAUCUGUUUAUUAAACUAACCUGCAGUUGCCUCCUUUGAACCUGUCGGUCGAGCUUUUCCCUUGGGUGGCCGUACCCACUGGGAACCAUCGAGUUGGUUCUCACCCCACGUUGAUUUUGGGUGUUACAGGUUCGCACGUGAGCGACGUGGCGGCGCGAGGCAAGGGCGUAGCUCCAUAGAUAGCACCCUACCCUCGGAGACCAGAGCUAGCAGUACCCCGUCGACGUAGCUUAGGGGUAUAGAAAAUGAAAGGAACAAAAUGUAUUAAACUUGUAAUAUCUAUGAUGUAAUAACUUAAUUGCAUUGGAAGUUGAAUGUAAUGUAAAGUGUGAUGUAAAUAAAUGAAUCUAAUGGGAAUGCUUGUAAUAACAUAGGAUGUGUUAUGUUGUGAUACUUUCCUUACGCAAUCAUGUUCCUAGCUGGAACUUCUUGUACUUGUAUUGAUUGCGACACCUAAGACGUACAGGAAAAAUUCUGUCCGUUCGGCGGUCUGUCGGCGGCGCCGCGACCUCGGCCAAAUAGGCGGGCGGUCGCGGCUCGUGACAGAUAAGGUGGUAUCAGAGCAUAAAGUAGAGAAUGAAAAAUGAUUUAGGCGGACCUAGGAGACCCUGGGAUAGUAAAACCAUAGGAGAAUAACGCUCGUGAGAGACGAGGACUUGUGACUUGUGGCGAAAGGUUAAUGAUUGGGUUAUAUGGUAAUCCUCUAAGAUGGAUAUUAGAGGUAGAUCUAAGGUACGGUGUAUUCUCAACCAAGUGUGUUCAUGUUGGGCUACGACAACAUGAAACCGAGUGAUGAGAAUAGACGCUCUUGCAUAACUUUCACCCGAUUUGCGUCAAUGUUAUGUUGUUUCGUACUUGACCCAGAUGGUUGAGGAUUAAUCGAGUUGCCCUGUUUCAGGAAGCGAUGGCACCGCGUAGGCGACCUUCGUCUGGAUUGAAGCGGGGUAGGACAGGCGAUGUCCCUGAGCAACCCGAGGCGAGCGGAGACCCGGUACUCCGUGAGCAGAUGAAUACACUCAUGGGCGUAGUGCUGGGACAGGAGGAGCAGAUCAAGGAGCUCCAUGAGUUGUUGGCACGACAGACUGCAGCGGCUACGCCGGUAGCAGCACGCCGUGUACCGACAGGAGUGGCGAUGGAAUCAGGGGUAGUGGCCUCUGAUUCUGUAGAAAUGGAGGCGGAGAAAGACCGGGCUUUGACGACCAUUAUGACCUUCAAGAGGUUUAAUCCGCCUGUCUUUGAUGGAGAGGAUGUCGACCCAUGGAUCGUGGAGAUGUGGAUUGACUCUGUGGAAAUGCUCUUCGGGGAGCUGUACACCUUGGAGCGGGACAAGGUGCCCCUAGCCGUGCAUUGCUUGAAGUAGUCGGCAAAGGUGUGGUGGAAAGGCGUUCGACGGAAUCGAUCGCCUAGUCUCCCUCCUAUGGCAUGGGAUGAGUUUCGGGGAUUGGUGUUUUCGACUUACUUCCCCGACACUGAAAAGAGAAAGCUCCAGGACAUGUUCAGGAAGCUGCGGCAAGGAGACCGUUCUGUGAGAGAAUAUGAACAGGAGUUCUCUCGUAUUGUGAAUUGUGUCCCGGAUGUGGUACGGGAUGAUGAGGAUAUGGCCGAUUGAUUCCUGCGUGGACUUCGACCAGAGAUUUACGAGAGGGUGGAAAUCUUCAAGCUCACAAUCUUCGCAGAGGUGUUGGAUCGAGCGUUAUUGGCAGAGCACGGCGAGGCUUUCGUGCGUGAGGAGCACGAGUCUUCUGGGCGUUUCAGUGUGCGUAGGCGCGAAAACGAAACCCGAAAGGUUAUAUUGGACUAUGAGCUAAAUCCACCAUUAGCGUGGAUGAAAAGAUGAUGAAAACAUGCUUGAAAACAUAUUUGGAGAGUCUCGGUUCGAUUUGAAGAGAAUCGGAGGUCGAACGAACGAAAACGGACGAAAUGCUGAAAUUUGGCUAAGUCUGGAGUUUUGAUCUACGAGGACGGGUCCCUCAGCCAAGGACCGGUCUCUCAAGGACCGGUCCCUCAUCCAAGGACCGGUUCCCGUAGCCCGAAAAUGCCCAAUUUGGGCUGUUGAGAGAGAAGCAUUGUUGAGGGUCUUAAGUGCAAAAUGGCACUUAUGAGAGUGUAUAGAGAGGACCUUUCUCUCUUUCUCUCAUUUCUUUCACUCCCCCACACCGUUUCAUCUCUCUCUCUCUCUCUCUAGACGAAAGAGAAGAAGAAGAAGAAGAGAAGGAAAGGGAGGAAGAAGAUGAAGGAAAAGAGGCCAAGAAGAUGAAGCUUCAUCUUCAUCUCCUUCCUUGAGCCAUUGGAGGAAGCUUAGAAAGGUAAUCAUCAUGCUCUUUAAUGGUAGAUUCUUGUAGAUGGGUUUUUAAUCCCUAAAAUUGGAUUUAGAGGAACCCUAGCAUGCUAUCUAGAUGGAUUGUGCCCAAAUCACGAAUCGAUUUGGUGGAUUUGGUUGUAGUAGUAUCUAGGGCAUCCAAAAUGGGGUUUUGACAAAUAUGAGGGUUUGAUCUCAUUUGACCCUCUAUAACCUAAUUGCUAGGUAAACGAACGCGUUGGAGAAGUCGAUUCAGCAAUCCGUCGAGCCGUUACAAAGAUAUUGAAGAAACAAGCGAUUUAGCUUCGUUUCCGCCUGGAGGGCCGAUGCGACGUCGUAAAAUCGUGGAAAAGGAUUUGGAGCACUGUGGCGCAUAACCAAAGACUUAUAAUUUUCGAAGUUGCGAAGUGGAGCACGGUUGAGGCGCAGUUGCAAUAUCGGGCCAUGCCGGAUACGGGUGCCGCGGGAGGCCGAUUGCAAGUGUCGACAAGCAAUCGGAAAGCAAGCUAAGGUGGGUUGCGUUUACCGAAGCGACUAGGUCAC
rnacentral:lncRNA from 1 species